CCAAGCUCAAGGUUGAUCUAACAGAAUAUGUUGAGAAACAUGAAUUUGUCUUUGAUGCAGUGCUGAAUGAGGAAGUCUCAAAUGAUGAGGUAUAUCGUGAGACAGUGGAGCCCAUAGUUAUAGUUCCAAUAAUUUUUCAGCGCACAAAAGCAACUUGCUUUGCAUAUGGGCAAACAGGAAGUGGAAAAACCUAUACUAUGAAACCAUUACCUCUCAAGGCUUCACGGGAUAUUUNNNNNNNNACACUUAUAGGAAUCAAGGGUUUCAGCUAUUUGUGAGUUUCUUCGAAAUAUAUGGAGGAAAACUAUUUGAUCUUCUCAGUGAUCGGAAAAAACUUUGCAUGAGAGAGGAUGGCAAGCAGCAAGUCUGCAUUGUUGGUUUGCAAGAGUACAAAGUAUCAGAUGUAGAGACAAUUGGGGACCUAAUUGAGAAAGGAAAUGCUACUAGAAGUACUGGCACGACAGGUGCAAAUGAGGAAUCCUCUCGUUCACAUGCUAUUCUUCAACUUGCUAUCAAGAGGUCAGUUGAUGGCAGCGAGUCAAAGCAGUCAAAGCCUCCACGUCUGGUGGGCAAGCUCUCCUUUAUAGACCUUGCUGGAAGUGAACGUGGUGCAGAUACCACAGAUAAUGAUAAACAGACAAGAAUGGAAGGUGCAGAGAUCAACAAGAGUUUACUUGCAUUGAAGGAAUGCAUAAGGGCUCUUGACAAUGACAAGAGUCAUAUUCCUUUCAGAGGCAGUAAAUUGACUGAAGUUCUGAGGGAUUCUUUCGUUGGCAAUUCCCGCACUGUCAUGGUAUCCUGCAUUUCGCCAAGCUCAGGAUCAUGUGAACAUACCCUCAACACCUUAAGAUAUGCAGACAGAGUGAAGAGUCUUUCAAAAGGAAAUGCUCCAAAGAAGGACAUAUUAUCUUCAACCUUAAAGGAAUCGACCACUGUGCCCUUAUCCUCAGUUUUACCUGCUGUGUCUACCUUUGAGGAUGACACUGAUGCAUGGGCUGAACAAGACGAAAGAGAUGAUUUUGAUGCAUCUGAAGACUCCUAUGAACAAGAGAAACCAAUAUGGAAGGAGAAUGGGAAAGUGGAAUCAUACAAUCUAUCAACUUCAGAGGAUAAAAUAUGGAAACCCAAUGGUCAGACAAAAUGGAAGGAUCUGUCAAAAUCGGAUCUUAAGAACUCACAUUCAGAUGAUGAUUUAAAUGCUUUGCUACAGGAAGAGGAGGAUCUCAUAAAUGCUCAUAGAAAACAGGUGGAGGAGACCAUGAACAUUGUUAGAGAGGAGAUGAACCUACUGGUUGAAGCAGACCAACCUGGGAAUCAGCUCGAUGAUUAUAUUACUAGAUUGAAUGCCAUUCUUUCUCAGAAGGCUGCAGGAAUACUCCAAUUACAAAAUCGUUUGGCGCAUUUUCAGAAGCUUUUGAAGGAACAUAAUGUUUUAGUAUCUUCUUCUGGGUACUGAUCUCUUUGAAGUAUUGUUGAAUGCCAUGAUGAAUAGCUCUAUCUUUUAUAGUCGGUUGCAAGAUUGUCGGCCUGGAAGUGAGAUUUGGGUAUAUGCAUUUUGUGUGAUUGCUGGAUGAGUUACUGGCCAUUGUGUAUCUCUUGUAUUCUUUAUUUGGUUUGAGGGAUCGGAGAUUGAUUUAAGGUCCCAUCUCUCGUUUCAUAUCAUACUACCGGCUUAAUCGUCUUUAAAUUUGCUUAACGAGUUACAGGCAAGCAUUGGAUUACAUGCCAUUUGGCGAGCUCAUGUAAAGCUAUGAUGCACAACAA
rnacentral:misc_RNA from 1 species